rnacentral:rRNA from 1 species
UUGAACGCUGGCGGCAGGCCUAACACAUGCCGGUCGAGCGGAUGAAGGGAGCUUGCUCCUGGAUUCAGCGGCGGACGGGUGAGUAAUGCCUAGGAAUCUGCCUGGUAGUGGGGGAUAACGUCCGGAAACGGGCGCUAAUACCGCAUACGUCCUGAGGGAGAAAGUGGGGGAUCUUCGGACCUCACGCUAUCAGAUGAGCCUAGGUCGGAUUAGCUAGUUGGUGGGGUAAAGGCCUACCAAGGCGACGAUCCGUAACUGGUCUGAGAGGAUGAUCAGUCACACUGGAACUGAGACACGGUCCAGACUCCUACGGGAGGCAGCAGUGGGGAAUAUUGGACAAUGGGCGAAAGCCUGAUCCAGCCAUGCCGCGUGUGUGAAGAAGGUCUUCGGAUUGUAAAGCACUUUAAGUUGGGAGGAAGGGCAGUAAGUUAAUACCUUGCUGUUUUGACGGUACCAACAGAAUAAGCACCGGCUAACUUCGUG